CCUGUUUAACAAAAACAUGUCUUUUUGAGUUAUUUUUAAAGUCUGACCUGCCCACUGAAUUUUUAAAUGGCCGCAGUAUUUUAACUGUGCAAAGGUAGCAUAAUCAUUAGUCUUUUAAUUGGAGGCUGGUAUGAACGGUUGGACGAGGUAUAUACUGUUUCAUAUAAAUUUAUGUUAGAAUUUUAUUUUUUAGUCAAAAAGCUAAAAUAAUAUUAAAAGACGAGAAGACCCUAUAAAUCUUUAUAUUUAAUAUAAUUUAAGUUUUUUGGGAUUAUUUUAUUUUUAUUAUGUUAAUUAUUUKGUUGGGGUGAUGUUAAAAUUUAAAGAACUUUUAAUUGUUUUAGACCAUUUAUUUAUGAAUUGUUGAUCCAUUAUUAUUGAUUAUAAGAUUAAGUUACUUUAGGGAUAACAGCGUAAUUUUUUUGGAGAGUUCAUAUCGAUAAAAAAGGUUGCGACCUCGAUGUUGGAUUAAGAUAUAAUUUUAGGUGUAGCUGCUUAAAU
rnacentral:rRNA from 1 species